ACUGCCCCUAGAGGCGUUGCAGGUGUGGCUGCCGUGUCGCGCCUGCGUCAUUAGGCGGCAGAGAGCAGAGAGGCUCGCCUACGCCCAGUGUCCUGGCCGUGGCGCCUGGAUGGUUGAUGGCCUGACACG
rnacentral:snoRNA from 1 species